UACGUAGGGUGCGAGCGUUGUCCGGAUUUAUUGGGCGUAAAGAGCGUGUAGGCGGUUAGGUAGGUCCGUUGUGAAAACUCGAGGCUCAACCUCGAGACGCCGAUGGAAACCAUCUGACUAGAGUCCGGGAGAGGCGAGUGGAAUUCCUGGUGUAGCGGUGGAAUGCGCAGAUAUCAGGAGGAACACCUAAGGCGAAGGCAGCUCGCUGGAACGGUACUGACGCUGAGGCGCGAAAGCGUGGGGAGCAAACAGG
rnacentral:rRNA from 1 species